UAGAAAAACAAAAAUGUCACUCAUCUAGACAUCUACUGCCAUCAUUGCUGCUGCGUUUGCGCGUUUGCUGCGUUAUCGAGGAAUCGAGUUACUUAUUUGGAUUUCGAUUAAUCUGGAGAAAUAAAUCACAUAUUCCCGUUAUGGACUGAAACUGUACAGUGCAUGAUGUUAUAAAGCAAGCAUGGUAUAUGCAUAUAUGCUACGUGAAAACCCGAGCAAAAUUGUCUACCUCGAUAACAUUAUAUUGCUGGAUGUUCCUUUUAGUCACACCUUCCGCUGCCAAAAUGUGUCUUUUUAGCCCAACAGUUGUGGAAUCAUGUACAAUACAGGUUCAUUCAUGCUGUGAAUUAUAAAUGCUUCUGUAUCAUGCGUAUUUGGUUGUACCUCCUACAUCAAAUGGAGGCUGUUUGGGAGUCAUGAUAGUUCUUCACUGCUGACCUGAACAAACACCUAUCAAAAGUUCAUUCAUGCCUGUUAAUGAUUGAUGCUUCUGUACCAGGCAUAUUUUGGUGUUUUGGCAGAAAUUUAUCAACGUCAAAGUCAAGAAAUUGGACAGUGUCGAGUCUGAGACCAAUUUGAAAAUACUGGGCAGCAAAUUUGACACUGGAUCUCAGCUGUGCCCACUCUGAGCAGUUCAACUGCAGACCUCCAGUUGUUGCUACCUUUAAAACGGUUAUGUACAUUUUCGAACCGUUUGACAUGUCUCGACUUAACUACAUGCAGCUAGCGUUAUUUUUGCAGCCCACGGGAUAGGUUGCCAUUACGUUGACGACUGGAGCGUCUUUCCAGGUCCUGUUUGCGACCUUUCGGUUUUGUUUAUUGUCAAUGUGAAUGGUCGUUUGAAGAUUUGCCAGGUUCCAGAGAUCUGCUAAAAGAGGGCUACCGUCUUUCUUUCGGUUUCAUCGGUUUCUUUUCAUCAAUCCAAUGAACAACACUGAAAUUCAGACUUCAAUGAAGAAUCUUGGCAGCAAUUCAGUCUAAACUGUGACAAAAUUAUAUUUUACACACAGACAUGGGAACAGUGGGAGACAACAAGAAGGUGCAGUCGGACAUGUGAAAGGAGUAAGAAUUGAACACGGGACAUUUGGAAUCAGCAAACAGUUGCCACAACCAUUACAUCAUUUUCAUUCUUCCAUUUUGGGCGAUCUAAGGACUCGAAACUAUUUUUAAAUGGAUACCUGUCUGCUUGUAUCACUUACGCCGGAGUCCCGUGUUCAAAUUCCUGGCGUAGGCUGUUGUAGAUUCCUUCAGACGUGUUGGUGUGGGAGAUUCGUUCAGGUGUGUAAGUAGGAAAAUUUGUUACAAAUUUUAAGCGUGUUUUUGGAAUUUUUGAGUAUUGAAACACUAGAUCUCACUGAAGGGCGUCAAUUGGUGUCUUAUUUGAUGGGAACUGCAUAGUUAAAGAACUAUCUGUCAAUCGCCCAAUUCCGAUUUGAGGAAUAAAAUUAUUUUGAAAAGUAGAAUUUCCGCUAACUCUAGACUUGAAUUCGAUAGAAAUGACUAUUGACAACAGCCUUUAUGAAGUGCGACGAAUUCCUAUAAAAUGAGAUAUUGAAUUUUCUUAAUUUUAAAGGGAGACGUUCUGGAGAAUAUUU